rnacentral:sRNA from 2 species
UCCCGGAUUCCGCUGGACCAGGCAGAGGCGGGGGACCCAGAGUUCCCGGGCAUUCUGCUUUCAUGCGCCCUCGGGGUGAAGCCGACACGUGAUGUUCCGUGCGGCCGGAUGACCUCAUCCGAACCCGACAGCUAACUCCGCCGGCGUUGAGAGGCCAC